rnacentral:tRNA from 1 species
AACUUGAAUAGUUUAUAAAAAAUAUAGGUUUGUGGUUCCUAAGAAAUUUAUUUUAAAUUUUAAGUUU